GAUGAACGCUGGCGGCGUGCUUAACACAUGCAAGUCGAGCGAGUGAGUUCUUCGGAACGAUCUAGCGGCGGACGGGUGAGUAACACGUGGGCAACCUGCCUCAUAGAGGGGAAUAGCCUCCCGAAAGGGAGAUUAAUACCGCAUAAAAUUAUCGAGUGGCAUCACAUGAUAAUCAAAGGAGUAAUCCGCUAUGAGAUGGGCCCGCGGCGCAUUAGCUAGUUGGUGAGGUAACGGCUCACCAAGGCGACGAUGCGUAGCCGACCUGAGAGGGUGAUCGGCCACAUUGGGACUGGGGCGCGGCCCAGACUCCUACGGGAGGCAGCAGUGGGGAAUAUUGCACAAUGGGGGAAACCCUGAUGCAGCAACGUCGCGUGAGUGAUGAAGGUCUUCGGAUUGUAAAGCUCUAUCUUUGGGGACGAUAAUGACGGUACCCAAGGAGGAAGCCACGGCUAACUACGUGCCAGCAGCCGCGGUAA
rnacentral:rRNA from 1 species